rnacentral:rRNA from 1 species
UACGGGGGGGGCAAGCGUUGUUCGGAAUUACUGGGCGUAAAGGGCGCGUAGGCGGCCUGCUAAGUCGGACGUGAAAUCCCUCGGCUCAACCGGGGAACUGCGUCCGAUACUGGCGAGGCUUGAAUCCGGUAGGGGAGUGUGGAAUUCCUGGUGGAGCGGUGAAAUGCGCAGAUAUCAGGAGGAACACCCGUAGCGAAGGCGGCACUCUGGGCCGGAACUGACGCUGAGGAGCGAAAGCGUGGGGAGCGAACAGG